rnacentral:rRNA from 2 species
GGGUGGGGGUCAUUCUAUAAUGCAAGUCGAGCGAACUGAUUAGAAGCUUGCUUCUAUGACGUUAGCGGCGGACGGGUGAGUAACACGUGGGCAACCUGCCUGUAAGACUGGGAUAACUUCGGGAAACCGAAGCUAAUACCGGAUAGGAUCUUCUCCUUCAUGGGAGAUGAUUGAAAGAUGGUUUCGGCUAUCACUUACAGAUGGGCCCGCGGUGCAUUAGCUAGUUGGUGAGGUAACGGCUCACCAAGGCAACGAUGCAUAGCCGACCUGAGAGGGUGAUCGGCCACACUGGGACUGAGACACGGCCCAGACUCCUACGGGAGGCAGCAGUAGGGAAUCUUCCGCAAUGGACGAAAGUCUGACGGAGCAACGCCGCGUGAGUGAUGAAGGCUUUCGGGUCGUAAAACUCUGUUGUUAGGGAAGAACAAGUACAAGAGUAACUGCUUGUACCUUGACGGUACCUAACCAGAAAGCCACGGCUAACUACGUGCCAGCAGCCGCGGUAAUACGUAGGUGGCAAGCGUUAUCCGGAAUUAUUGGGCGUAAAGCGCGCGCAGGCGGUUUCUUAAGUCUGAUGUGAAAGCCCACGGCUCAACCGUGGAGGGUCAUUGGAAACUGGGGAACUUGAGUGCAGAAGAGAAAAGCGGAAUUCCACGUGUAGCGGUGAAAUGCGUAGAGAUGUGGAGGAACACCAGUGGCGAAGGCGGCUUUUUGGUCUGUAACUGACGCUGAGGCGCGAAAGCGUGGGGAGCAAACAGGAUUAGAUACCCUGGUAGUCCACGCCGUAAACGAUGAGUGCUAAGUGUUAGAGGGUUUCCGCCCUUUAGUGCUGCAGCUAACGCAUUAAGCACUCCGCCUGGGGGAGUACGGUCGCAAGACUGAAACUCAAAGGGAGUUGACGGGGGGGCCCGCACAAGCGGUGGGAGCAAUGAUGGUUUAAUUCGGAAGCAACGCGAAGAACCAUUACCAGGUCGAUUGACAGUCCUCUGAACAACUCUAGAGAUAGAGCGGUUUCCCGCCUUCGUGGGGAACAGAGUGAACAGGUUGGGUGCCAUGGAAUGGGUU